CCCCAAAUGUAAUUUAUGGGCUUGUCUUCUGUGUGCUGCAACACGUCUGGCUAUCCGAAAUCUGGGAGGCCUGGCAUGCUGCAGUCCAUGGGGUCGCAAAGAGCUGGACAUGACUGGGGGACUGAACAACACCAUCACCGUGGCGUAUCAUGGAAAACGAGGCACAGCCACGCGGGGCAGAAGUGCCCUGGGAUCUUACCACCCGGCCCUGCUACCAUCGACCUCAGAUCAGAACUAUGGCCUCAGUUUCCUCACCUGUAAAGGGAGGGGACAUGAUGCAAUUCCUUCUCACCUUUUCCUCCAGGAGAAGAGGACACAGACACCUGCCCACGAACUAGCCCAGCCCCACAGGGGAUGCUGUGUGGUUUUCAACAAGAGAGGCAGGCGGUGGGGAUGUGCCAGGGGCCCAUGUCCACUUCUGCUGUGGCUUUCAGCUCCUGAUGUUCACUAGGAGUCCUUUAAUACCCUUUCUGUGAGCAGCAGGCACAUGGCUGGGAAUGUGGCGGCCCUAAACUAACAGCUGAGAGCUCUACAUAGCUCUUUAGGUCACUUUAGCACAUUAUACCCCUGAGAUUCAAACUUUCUCCAAGGUCAUGUUAAGAUUCAAGUUUGGCGAAAUGGAGUGCUGAGUCCAAAAACGAAAACAAUCUAAAAGACCAGGGCUGUUUCCUUUACCCCGGUUUACUGAGCGACACCUUUUCUUGCUGUGGUUUCUAUAAUGGUAUUUUAUUUUACAAUAUAAAGGUAAAGAAAAAUACUCUCUGCUAACAGAGUAAAACCACAUUAAUUACACAUAGGUUUUAUCUUUGUUGCAUAGAUUCUCCAGCCAAACCACUGCUUGGAUUCCCCCUUUGUCUGACCCAGGUAGACAGGCGAGAGGAUCAGAGCUGGGAUUUUUCUGGUUGGGGGCACCUUGCAGGGGUCAGCCGAUUCUUUUAAAGUGCCCUUAACAGGAGCCUAUGUUAAUGAAAGCAGUUUUCUCAUGACAGAUCAGAACCUGGCCUUUAUAGCAUUAAAAAAAAUUUUUUUUUACAUCGAGAAG
ensembl:lncRNA